rnacentral:lncRNA from 1 species
UGCGCCUGUCACAGAGAGAGGCUGCGGGCGCGGGGCCGACGAGCGCAGGCAAAAAUCCCUUUAAUGAACAAGGAAGAAGGCAACAACGUUUUUACAGUCCUGAGAAGUGCCUGUUACUAGAAAUGAUUUUCACUUUGUUCCUGAAAAGUAUGCCAAGUUUACUGGUGAGCUGGUGUUUGCUGGUGAUGCUACAAAUAGAAGCAAGACUGGCAGGAAGGAGCAUGAGCUUUCCAGUGGAACAUGUGACAGCAGGGACCUGCUCCAGGAGCUGCAAUUGGGGCAUCUCUGAAUGGGAGAUGAUGGACUGGUGA